rnacentral:rRNA from 1 species
GAGGAGAGUAUCCUAAGGCCAGCGAGAGAACUGUUGUUAAGGAACUCGGCAAAAUGACCCCGUAACUUAGGGAUAAGGGGUGCCACCAUCAGGUGGCCGCAGAGAAUAGGCCCAAGCGACUGUUUACCAAAAACAUAGGUUUCUGCUAAGUCGCAAGACGAUGUAUAGGAGCUGACGCCUGCCCGGUGCUGGAAGGUUAAGGGGAUCUGUUAGAGUAAUCGAAGCAGUGAACUUAAGCCCCAGUAAACGGCGGCCGUAACUAUAACGGUCCUAAGGUAGCGAAAUUCCUUGUCGGGUAAGUUCCGACCCGCACGAA